UACGUAGGGAGCAAGCGUUGUCCGGAAUCAUUGGGCGUAAAGCGCGCGUAGGUGGCCUCAUAAGUCCGUUGUGAAAGUCAAAGGCUCAACCUUUGAAAGCCGAUGGAUACUGUGAGACUAGAGUACGGAAGAGGCGAGUGGAAUUCCUGGUGUAGCGGUGGAAUGCGCAGAUAUCAGGAGGAACACCAAUAGCGAAGGCAGCUCGCUGGGACGUUACUGACGCUGAGGCGCGAAAGCGUGGGGAGCAAACAGG
rnacentral:rRNA from 1 species